UACGUAGGGUGCAAGCGUUGUCCGGAAUUAUUGGGCGUAAAGAGCUCGUAGGCGGCUUGUCGCGUCGGCUGUGAAAACCUGGGGCUCAACCCCGGGCCUGCAGCCGAUACGGGCAAGCUAGAAUUCGGUAGGGGAGACUGGAAUUCCUGGUGUAGCGGUGAAAUGCGCAGAUAUCAGGAAGAACACCCGUGGCGAAGGCGGUUCUCUGGGACGGUACUGACGCUGAGACGCGAAAGCGUGGGGAGCGAACAGG
rnacentral:rRNA from 1 species